UGGUUUUCUCUUCUACGCUGGCUCGAGCUGGGGCAGUAAGGGUGUAGCAUGGCAUGGAGCGUCGCUUCGGAGGGAUGAUGGAUUCGCAGAAGGUGGUGGAUACACACCGAUCAGCUGUAACAUUAUGAACGCUGAUAAUCUUAUGGCACCUGUUGGUGGGUGGGAUAGAUUGGGCAGCAAGUAAACAUUUUGUCCUCAAAGUUGAUGUGUUAGAAGUGGGAGAAAUGGGCAAGCAGAAGGAGCUGAGCGACUUUGACAAGGGCCAAAUAGUUAUGGCUAGACAACUGGGUCAGAGCAUCUCCAAAACGGCAGCUCUUGUGGGGUGUUCCCGCUAUGCGGUGGUCAGUACCUAUCAAAAGUGGUCCAA